rnacentral:rRNA from 1 species
GAUGAACGCUGGCGGCGUGCCUAACACAUGCAAGUCGAACGGAGAUUCCGGACGGACGUUUUCGGAUGGAAGCCUGUGAUUCUUAGUGGCGGACGGGUGAGUAACGCGUGGGCAACCUGCCCUAUACAGGGGGAUAGCAGCUGGAAACGGCUGGUAAGACCGCAUAAGUCGGUUAAAUCGCAUGAUUUGAUCGGGAAAUGAGCAAUCAGGUAUAGGAUGGGCCCGCGUCCGAUUAGCCAGUUGGCAGGGUAAAAGCCUACCAAAGCGACGAUCGGUAGCCGGACUGAGAGGUCGGACGGCCACAUUGGGACUGAGACACGGCCCAAACUCCUACGGGAGGCAGCAGUGGGGGAUAUUGCACAAUGGAGGAAACUCUGAUGCAGCGACGCCGCGUGAGUGAAGAAGUAUUUCGGUAUGUAAAGCUCUAUCAGCAGGGAAGAUGAUGACGGUACCUGACUAAGAAGCCCCGGCUAACUACGUG